GGGGAAAUAGUUCAGUUGGUUAGAGUGCUGGUCUGUCACGCCAGAAGUCACGGGUUUGAACCCCGUUUUCCCCA
rfam:Triticum aestivum genome assembly, contig: Triticum_aestivum_CS42_TGACv1_scaffold_180337_2DS